AUUGAACGCUGGCGGCAUGCUUUACACAUGCAAGUCGAACGGCAGCGCGGGCUUCGGCCUGGCGGCGAGUGGCGAACGGGUGAGUAAUGCAUCGGAACGUGCCCAGUAGUGGGGGAUAGCCCGGCGAAAGCCGGAUUAAUACCGCAUACGACCUGAGGGUGAAAGCGGGGGACCGAAAGGCCUCGCGCUAUUGGAGCGGCCGAUGUCGGAUUAGCCAGUUGGUGGGGCAAAGGCUUACCAAGGCGACGAUCCGUAGCUGGUCUGAGAGGACGACCAGCCACACUGGGACUGAGACACGGCCCAGACUCCUACGGGAGGCAGCAGUGGGGAAUUUUGGACAAUGGGGGCAACCCUGAUCCAGCCAUGCCGCGUGCGGGAAGAAGGCCUUCGGGUUGUAAACCGCUUUUGUUCGGUAAGAAAUCCUCUGGGCUAAUACCCCGGGGGGAUGACGGUACCGGAAGAAUAAGCACCGGCUAACUACGUG
rnacentral:rRNA from 1 species